UCCCUGGUGGCUCAGCAGUAAAGAAUCUGCUUGCAAUGCAGGAGGCCCAGGUUCAAUCCCUCGACUGGGAA
rnacentral:tRNA from 1 species